CAUAUACUCCCUCCGUCCUAAAAUUCUUGUCUUCAAUUUAUCUAAAUAUGAAUGUAUCUAGUCACGUUUUAGUAUUUAGAUACAUCCAUUUCUAGAUAAAUUUAAGACAAAAAUUUUGGGACGGACGGAGUACCUA
rnacentral:pre_miRNA from 1 species